UGCUAGAAAUUCCACAUAAGCUCGUGUCC
rnacentral:piRNA from 1 species